CUGACCUCGAAUCAGGUGGGACUACCCGCUGAACUUAAGCAUAUCAAUAAGCGGAGGAAAAGAAACUAACAAGGAUUCCCUUAGUAACUGCGAGUGAAGUGGGAUGAGCUCAAAUUUAAAAUCUGGUGGUCUCUGGCU
rnacentral:rRNA from 1 species